rnacentral:rRNA from 1 species
GACGAACGCUGGCGGCGUGCUUAACACAUGCCAGUCGAACGGAAAGGCCCUGCUUUUGUGGGGUGUUCGAGUGGCGAACGGGUGAGUAACACGUGAGUAACCUGCCCUUGACUUUGGGAUAACUUCAGUAAACUGGGGCUAAUACCGGAUAGGAGCUCCUGCUGCAUGGUGGGGGUUGGAAAGUUUCGGCGGUUGGGGAUGGACUCGCGGCUUAUCAGCUUGUUGGUGGGGUAGUGGCUUACCAAGGCUUUGACGGGUAGCCGGCCUGAGAGGGUGACCGGCCACAUUGGGACUGAGAUACGGCCCAGACUCCUACGGGAGGCAGCAGUGGGGAAUAUUGCACAAUGGGCGGAAGCCUGAUGCAGCAACGCCGCGUGCGGGAUGACGGCCUUCGGGUUGUAAACCGCUUUCGCCUGUGACGAAGCGUGAGUGACGGUAAUGGGUAAAGAAGCACCGGCUAACUACGUG